GGAAAGGUAAGCUAAGGCUAAGCUAACAGGUUCAUACCCUGUGUAUGGAGACUACUCCCCUCUCUA
rnacentral:tRNA from 1 species